rnacentral:rRNA from 1 species
UACGGAGGAUCCAGGCGUUAUCCGGAUUUAUUGGGUUUAAAGGAGGUACGUAGGUUGACAUAUAAGUACAGCUGUGAAAGUUUACGGACUCAACCGUGAAAUUGCAGUUGAUACUGUAUGUCUUGAGUGUACAAGAGGUGGGCGGAAUUCGUGGUGUAGCGGUGAAAUGCUUAGAUAUCACGAAGAACUCCAAUUGCGAAGGCAGCUCACUGGGGUACAACUGACACUGAGGCUCGAAAGUGUGGGUAUCAAACAGGAUUAGAUACCCGCGUAGU